UACGUAGGGGGCGAGCGUUGUCCGGAGUUUACUGGGCGUAAAGGGCACGCAGGCGGUUGUGUCAGUUUUGCGGGGACAGUGGGCGGCUUAACUGCCCAAGGGUCGCAAAGACGGCACGCUGGAGAGCGAGAGAGGGACCUGGAACUCCGGGUGGAGCGGUGAAAUGCGUAGAGAUCCGGAAGAACACCACUGGCGAAGGCAAGGUCCUGGCUC
rnacentral:rRNA from 1 species